GUGGAAGGAAAAAAAGGAUUUGAAGAAGGAAAUUAAAAAAACAAAAAAAAAGAAGGAAACGCGUUUUAUGAAAAGAGCACACUGUUGAUUGUUCAAUCCUUUCUCUCUCUCUAUCUUCAUUUCUCGCUUUCUCUUUCUAAGACGUACACAAAAUUAGGGUUUGGUUAUCUGGAAAAAAGAACCCGCUUUACCCUGCGACCAGUGGAAAAGAAAGGUUUAGGGUUUUGCCUGUGAGGGUUUUGCAGACCCUUUUGGGGUUCUAAAAUGGGUUCCAUUUGUUUUUCUUCUUCAGUAAUCAAAUGGUACUCUUUUAACAAAUUGAAGCUGUUAUCUGUCGUUUGGGUCCUGGCUUUGUCGGUAAAUGGAGUAGUUUUGGGUGAUUCGGACGAAUCGGCGCUGUUAGAGUUCAAGAACUCGGUGUCUGACCCGUCAGGGCUGCUCUCUAGCUGGAAUCUGAUCAACACCAACCACUGCUUUUGGCCUGGUGUGUCCUGCGACAACGACUCGCGUGUCGUGUCCCUCAACAUCACAGGACACCGCAACAGCAACAAAGGUAAGAAUAGUGAAAAUGGAAGUCCUUUCUUUUGCCCAGGUUCCGUUCAGUAUCCACUUUAUGGGUUUGGAAUUAGGCGAGACUGUCAGGAUGGUAAUGGUAUUCUUUUUGGCAAAUUGAUACCUGCGAUUGCCAAGUUAACUGAACUUAGGGUUUUAUCAUUGCCCUUUAAUGGGUUUCGUGGGGAGAUGCCUGGUGAAAUAUGGCGCAUGCAGAAGUUAGAGGUUCUUGAUCUGGAGGGUAAUAUGAUAACUGGGUCAUUGCCAAUUUCCUUUGACGGGUUAAGAAACUUGCGGGUUUUAAACUUAGGAUUCAACAACAUAGGAGGAGAAAUACCGAGCUCACUUUCCUAUUGUACAAACUUGGCGAUCCUAAAUUUAGCUGGUAACAGCAUUAAUGGCACACUUCCUGCGUUUGUUGGUGGGCUUAAGGCCCUUUAUUUGUCCUUGAAUCAGCUCGGUGGGGCAGUGCCUAGAGAAAUUGGAGACAAUUGUGAUACACUUGAACACCUGGAUUUGUCAGGAAAUUUCUUUGUUGGAGGGAUUCCUGGUAGUCUAGGGAAUUGUGGUAAUUUGAGGACAUUGUUAUUGUAUUCAAAUUUGUUUGAAGAAGUGAUUCCGUCUGAACUGGGUAUGCUCGGAAAGCUUGAGGUGUUGGAUGUGUCAAGAAAUAGUCUUAGUGGGUCAGUACCUCGUGAGCUUGGGAAUUGCUCUGGAUUGUCUGUGCUUGUGCUUUCAAAUUUUUUUGAUCCUUAUCAGAAUGUUAACAGUUCAAGAGGGGACUAUUUGUUGGAUCAAUCGAGUUCUGCAAAUGAAGAUUUUAAUUUUUUUCAGGGGAAAAUUCCUGCAGAAAUUGCGACUCUUCCAAACCUGAGGAUGUUGUGGGCGCCAAGUGCAACUCUUGAGGACAGCUUGCUAAGUGACUGGGGUGCUUGUGAGAAAUUGGAGAUGAUCAAUUUGGCCUUUAACUUUUUCACUGGGGAAAUUCCCCAUGAGCUCAGUCACUGCAACAAGUUGUGGUAUCUGGACUUGAGUAAUAAUAGGCUCAAGGGAGAGCUUGUUAAGGAGAUUCCAGUUCCUUGUAUGACCCUGUUCGAUGUUAGUGGAAAUUCCCUGUCUGGUCAAAUCCCCAGUUUCUACAGUGGCAGUUGCGAAUCAGUUCCUUCCAUUUAUGGAUAUCCCUCCGGCAUCUAUGAUCCAUCAUCUGCUUAUCUGUCUUUUUUCGCAAAUAAAGCGAAGUCUGGAAGUCCUAUACAGUCACUUGAGGGAGAUGGUGAAAUAUCAAUUCUUCAUAACUUUGGCGGCAACAAUUUUACUGGUACCCUUCAAUCUAUGCCAAUUGCACCUGUCAGAUUGGGAAAGCAAACUACUUAUGCAUUUUUAGCUGGAGGAAACAAGCUGUCUGGGCCAUUCCCAGGGAUUUUGUUUGAUAAGUGCAAUGAAUUGGACAAAUUAAUUCUUAAUGUUAGCAACAAUAGAAUGUCUGGUCAGAUUCCGGCUGAUAUUGGUACCAUGUGCAGAUCUCUCAAACUUCUGGAUGCGUCUAACAAUCAGAUUACUGGUUUCAUUCCCCCUGGCAUUGGUAAAAUGGUGUCUCUUGUUUCUCUCAACUUGAGUUGUAACUUUUUGCAAGGUCCGAUUCCUACCAGUCUCAGCCAAAUAAAGGGCCUGAAGUAUCUUUCCUUGGCUGGUAAUAAAAUCAAUGGUUCUAUUCCUUCUAGCUUGGGCAAGUUGCAGUCUUUGGAGGUUCUGGAUCUUUCUUCAAACAUGCUCUCCGGAGAGAUUCCAAACAAUCUUGUGAACUUGAGAAACCUUACUGCCCUUCUGCUCAAUGACAAUAAACUUUCUGGGCAGAUUCCUUCUGGUUUGGCAAAUGUGACCAUGCUUUCAGCAUUCAAUGUGUCCUUCAACAACUUAUCUGGGUCCCUGCCAUUGAGUAACAAUCUGAUGAAAUGUAGUAGUGUUCUUGGAAAUCCUUAUCUACGCCCUUGCCAUGUUUUCUCCCUAACAGUGCCAACUCCAGAUUCAGGAAGUUCUGCUGUGGCACAAGGCUACACUGUUUCACCACCAAGUCAGAGUCAAAAGAGUGGGAACAGUGGUUUCAAUUCAAUUGAGAUAGCAUCAAUAGCAUCUGCAUCAGCCAUUGUUUCAGUUCUUCUAGCUUUGAUUGUCUUGUUCUUCUACACCAGAAAGUGGAGCCCAAAGUCCAAAAUUAUGGGAUCCACCAGAAAGGAAGUAACAAUCUUUACAGACAUUGGGGUUCCCUUGACAUUUGAGAAUGUUGUGAGGGCCACUGGGAACUUCAAUGCAAGCAACUGCAUUGGCAAUGGAGGUUUUGGGGCUACUUACAAGGCAGAGAUAUCUCCUGGAGUUCUGGUGGCAAUCAAAAGGCUUGCUGUUGGACGAUUCCAAGGUGUUCAGCAGUUUCAUGCUGAAAUUAAAACCCUUGGGAGGCUCCACCAUCCAAAUCUUGUCACAUUGAUUGGUUAUCAUGCCAGUGAAACAGAAAUGUUCCUAGUAUAUAAUUAUUUACCUGGUGGUAAUCUGGAAAAAUUUAUCCAGGAGAGGUCCACCAGGGCUGUGGAUUGGAGGAUACUUCACAAGAUUGCUUUGGAUAUUGCUCGUGCUCUUGCUUACCUGCAUGAUCAGUGUGUACCACGUGUACUUCAUCGCGAUGUCAAGCCCAGCAAUAUUCUUCUAGAUGAUGAUUUCAAUGCCUAUUUAUCUGACUUCGGUUUGGCUAGGCUUUUGGGAACUUCUGAAACCCAUGCUACUACAGGCGUGGCUGGAACUUUUGGUUAUGUUGCCCCAGAAUAUGCAAUGACUUGCCGUGUUUCGGAUAAGGCUGAUGUUUACAGUUAUGGGGUUAUGUUGUAGCUGUUCACAAUAAGGAAGCCUACCGAUGAAAUUUUUGAUGAGAUGAUCCUGACAGACA
rnacentral:misc_RNA from 1 species